rnacentral:rRNA from 1 species
AUUGAACGCUGGCGGAAUGCUUUACACAUGCAAGUCGAACGGCAGCACGGAGAGCUUGCUCUCUGGUGGCGAGUGGCGUACGGGUGAGUAAUAUAUCGGAACGUGUCCAAUAAUGGGGGAUAACGAGUCGAAAGAUUCGCUAAUACCGCAUACGCCCUAUGGGGGAAAGCAGGGGAUCGUAAGACCUUGCGUUAAUGGAGCGGCCGAUAUGUGAUUAGCUAGUUGGUGAGGUAAAGGCUCACCAAGGCGACGAUCAGUAGCUGGUUUGAGCGGACGACCAGCCACACUGGAACUGAGGCACGGUCCAGAAUAAUACUGGAGGCAGCAGUGGGGAAUUUUGGACAAUGUGGGCAACCCUGAUCCAGCCAUUCCGCGUGAGUGAAGAAGGUCUUCGGGUUGUAAAGCUCUUUCGCAAGGGAAGAAAACUUAUGAUCGAGUAAAUCAUGAGGUUGACGGUACCUUGAUAAGAAGCACCGGCUAACUACGUGCCAGCAGCCGCCGUAA